AGAGUUUGAUCCUGGCUCAGGACGAACGCUGGCGGCGUGCUUAACACAUGCAAGUCGAACGGGGUUUUAGGAUAGCUUGCUAUCCGAAGAACCUAGUGGCGCACGGGUGAGUAACACGUGGGCAACCUGCCCGGAAGUCUGGGAUAACGGCUCGAAAGGGCUGCUAAUACCGGAUACCUUCACGAAGACACAUGUUUUUGUGAAGAAAGUUUUUCGCUUCCGGAUGGGCCCGCGUCCCAUUAGCUAGUUGGUGAGGUAACGGCUCACCAAGGCAACGAUGGGUAGCUGGUCUGAGAGGACGAUCAGCCACACUGGAACUGAGACACGGUCCAGACUCCUACGGGAGGCAGCAGUGGGGAAUCUUGCGCAAUGGGCGAAAACCUGACGCAGCAACGCCGCGUGAAUGAUGAAGGCCUUCGGGUCGUAAAAUUCUGUCAAGGGGGACGAAGAUCUGACGGUACCCCUGGAGGAAGCCCCGGCUAACUACGUGCCAGCCGCCGCGGUAAUUC
rnacentral:rRNA from 1 species